AGUGAACGCUGGCGGUAGGCCUAACACAUGCGAGUCGAACGGCAGCACAGUAAGAGCUUGCUCUUACGGGUGGCGAGUGGCGGACGGGUGAGGAAUACAUCGGAAUCUACUUUUUCGUGGGGGAUAACGUAGGGAAACUUACGCUAAUACCGCAUACGACCUACAGGUGAAAGCAGGGGAUCUUCGGACCUUGCGCGAUUGAAUGAGCCGAUGUCGGAUUAGCUAGUUGGCGGGGUAAAGGCCCACCAAGGCGACGAUCCGUAGCUGGUCUGAGAGGAUGAUCAGCCACACUGGAACUGAGACACGGUCCAGACUCCUACGGGAGGCAGCAGUGGGGAAUAUUGGACAAUGGGCGCAAGCCUGAUCCAGCCAUACCGCGUGGGUGAAGAAGGCCUUCGGGUUGUAAAGCCCUUUUGUUGGGAAAGAAAAGCAGCAGGUUAAUACCCCGCUGUUCUGACGGUACCCAAAGAAUAAGCACCGGCUAACUUCGUG
rnacentral:rRNA from 1 species